UAAUAGUUGUCUGAUAGAUAUUAAAAUGAUUUGAAUAUGUAUUACAGAUAGACGGGAGCCCAGAGAGAAGAAGACGAAAUAACAGUCCUAGACUUGGAGAUAAUUAAUUGUAGAUGCCUAGAUGAUGAUAUACCAGCCCCAGGAUAUUUACAUCAGGACAGGUAACAUAUGCAUCGGAAAGUAAGUAUAUUUUUUUUUUUAUUUAUUAAUAGUUGUCUGAUAGAUAUUAAAAUGAUUUGAAUAUGUAUUACAGAUAGACGGGAGCCCAGAGAGAAGAAGACGAAAUAACAGUCCUAGACUUGGAGAUGAUUAAUUGUAGAUGCCUAGAUGAUGAUAUACCAGCCCCAGGAUAUUUACAUCAGGACAGGUAACAUAUGCAUCGAAAAGUAAGUAUAUUUUUUUUUUUAUUUAUUAAUAGUUGUCUGAUAGAUAUUAAAAUGAUUUGAAUAUGUAUUACAGAUAGACGGGAGCCCAGAGAGAAGAAGACGAAAUAACAGUCCUAGACUUGGAGAUGAUUAAUUGUAGAUGCCUAGAUGAUGAUAUACCAGCCCCAGGAUAUUUACAUCAGGACAGGUAACAUAUGCAUCGGAAAGUAAGUAUAUUUUUUUUUUUAUUUAUUAAUAGUUGUCUGAUAGAUAAUAAAAUGAUUUGAAUAUGUAUUACAGAUAGACGGGAGCCCAGAGAGAAGAAGACGAAAUAACAGUCCUAGACUUGGAGAUGAUUAAUUGUAGAUGCCUAGAUGAUGAUAUACCAGCCCCAGGAUAUUUACAUCAGGACAGGUAACAUAUGCAUCGGAAAGUAAGUAUAUUUUUUUUUUUAUUUAUUAAUAGUUGUCUGAUAGAUAUUAAAAUGAUUUGAAUAUGUAUUACAGAUAGACGGGAGCCCAGAGAGAAGAAGACGAAAUAACAGUCCUAGACUUGGAGAUGAUUAAUUGUAGAUGCCUAGAUGAUGAUAUACCAGCCCCAGGAUAUUUACAUCAGGACAGGUAACAUAUGCAUAGGAAAGUAAGUAUAUUUUUUAUUUUAUUUAUUAAUAGUUGUCUGAUAGAUAAUAAAAUGAUUUGAAUAUGUAUUACAGAUAGACGGGAGACCAGAGAGAAGAAGACGAAAUAACAGUCCUAGACUUGGAGAUGAUUAAUUGUAGAUGCCUAGAUGAUGAUAUACCAGCCCCAGGAUAUUUACAUCAGGACAGGUAACAUAUGCAUCGGAAAGUAAGUAUAUUUUUUUUUUUAUUUAUUAAUAGUUGUCUGAUAGAUAUUAAAAUGAUUUGAAUAUGUAUUACAGAUAGACGGGAGCCCAGAGAGAAGAAGACGAAAUAACAGUCCUAGACUUGGAGAUGAUUAAUUGUAGAUGCCUAGAUGAUGAUAUACCAGCCCCAGGAUAUUUACAUCAGGACAGGUAACAUAUGCAUAGGAAAGUAAGUAUAUUUUUUAUUUUAUUUAUUAAUAGUUGUCUGAUAGAUAAUAAAAUGAUUUGAAUAUGUAUUACAGAUAGACGGGAGCCCAGAGAGAAGAAGACGAAAUAACAGUCCUAGACUUGGAGAUGAUUAAUUGUAGAUGCCUAGAUGAUGAUAUACCAGCCCCAGGAUAUUUACAUCAGGACAGGUAACAUAUGCAUCGGAAAGUAAGUAUAUUUUUUUUUUUAUUUAUUAAUAGUUGUCUGAUAGAUAAUAAAAUGAUUUGAAUAUGUAUUACAGAUAGACGGGAGCCCAGAGAGAAGAAGACGAAAUAACAGUCCUAGACUUGGAGAUGAUUAAUUGUAGAUGCCUAGAUGAUGAUAUACCAGCCCCAGGAUAUUUACAUCAGGACAGGUAACAUAUGCAUCGGAAAGUAAGUAUAUUUUUUUUUUUAUUUAUUAAUAGUUGUCUGAUAGAUAUUAAAAUGAUUUGAAUAUGUAUUACAGAUAGACGGGAACCCAGAGAGAAGAAGACGAAAUAACAGUCCUAGACUUGGAGAUGAUUAAUUGUAGAUGCCUAGAUGAUGAUAUACCAGCCCGAGGAUAUUUACAUCAGGACAGGUAACAUAUGCAUCGGAAAGUAAGUAUAUUUUUUAUUUUAUUUAUUAAUAGUUGUCUGAUAGAUAAUAAAAUGAUUUGAAUAUGUAUUACAGAUAGACAGGAGCCCAGAGAGAAGAAGACGAAAUAACAGUCCUAGACUUGGAGAUGAUUAAUUGUAGAUGCCUAGAUGAUGAUAUACCAGCCCCAGGAUAUUUACAUCAGGACAGGUAACAUAUGCAUCGGAAAGUAAGUAUAUUUUUUUAUUUUAUUUAUUAAUAGUUGUCUGAUAGAUAUUAAAAUGAUUUGAAUAUGUAUUACAGAUAGACGGGAGCCCAGAGAGAAGAAGACGAAAUAACAGUCCUAGACUUGGAGAUGAUUAAUUGUAGAUGCCUAGAUGAUGAUAUACCAGCCCCAGGAUUAUUACAUCAGGACAGGUAACAUAUGCAUAGGAAAGUAAGUAUAUAUUUUUUUUUAUUUAUUAAUAGUUGUCUGAUAGAUAAUAAAAUGAUUUGAAUAUGUAUUACAGAUAGACGGGAGACCAGAGAGAAGAAGACGAAAUAACAGUCCUAGACUUGGAGAUGAUUAAUUGUAGAUGCCUAGAUGAUGAUAUACCAGCCCCAGGAUAUUUACAUCAGGACAGGUAACAUAUGCAUCGGAAAGUAAGUAUAUAUUUUUUUUUUAUUUAUUAAUAGUUGUCUGAUAGAUAUUAAAAUGAUUUGAAUAUGUAUUACAGAUAGACGGGAGCCCAGAGAGAAGAAGACGAAAUAACAGUCCUAGACUUGGAGAUGAUUAAUUGUAGAUGCCUAGAUGAUGAUAUACCAGCCCCAGGAUAUUUACAUCAGGACAGGUAACAUAUGCAUCAGAAAGUAAGUAUAUUUUUUUUUUAUUUAUUAAUAGUUGUCUGAUAGAUAAUAAAAUGAUUUGAAUAUGUAUUACAGAUAGACGGGAGCCCAGAGAGAAGAAGACGAAAUAACAGUCCUAGACUUGGAGAUGAUUAAUUGUAGAUGCCUAGAUGAUGAUAUACCAGCCCCAGGAUAUUUACAUCAGGACAGGUAACAUAUGCAUCGGAAAGUAAGUAUAUUUUUUUUUUUAUUUAUUAAUAGUUGUCUGAUAGAUAAUAAAAUGAUUUGAAUAUGUAUUACAGAUAGACGGGAGCCCAGAGAGAAGAAGACGAAAUAACAGUCCGAGACCUGGAGAUGAUUAAUUGUAGAUGCCUAGAUGAUGAUGCCUGAGAAGUUUCAGUGGUAAUAUACAGCUUGAAUAUGGUUCCAUUGUACAUAGAAGAUGAAGAUGAGUUAGGUUAAACCUUGUUAGAGUGAAAAAAAAAAUAAAGCAGCUGAGCAGGGAUAGUAGUUCCAAGGAAGAUGGUAACAUAGAUCUUCAACUAACUUUGAGGCUCUGCAAGUCUGCCAUGAAAAAAAUAAAGAAGCAAGGACAGCAGCUCCAAGAAAGAUUAUUACAUUGAUAAUCUUCCAAGUCUGAUGUGUGGCCAUUAAAGAAAUAAUGUUAUUUCUGAGUGGUACAUAUAUACAAUAACUAUCUGAUUUCCAUCUACAUGCAGAGUGAAAAAAAAAUAAAGCAGCUGAGCAGGGACAGUAGUUCCAAGGAAGAUGGUAACAUAGAUCUUCAACUAACUUUGAGGCUCUGCGAGUCUGCCAUGAAAAAAAUAAAGAAGCAAGAACAGCAGCUCCAAGGAAGAUUAUUACAUUGAUAAUCUUCCAAGUCUGAUGUGUGGCCAUUAAAGAAAUAAUGUUAUUUCUGAGUGGUACAUAUAAACAAUAACUAUCUGAUUUCCAUCUACAUGCAGAGUGAAAAAAAAUAAAGCAGCAUGCAGGGAUAGUAGCUCCAAGGAAGAUGGUAACAUAGAUCUUCAACUAACUUUGAGGCUCUGCGAGUCUGCCAUGAAAAAAAUAAAGAAGCAAGGACAGCAGCUCCAAGAAAGAUUAUUACAUUGAUAAUCUUCCAAGUCUGAUGUGUGGCCAUUAAAGAAAUAAUGUGAUUUCAGUGUUUUCAUGGAUGGGAGUAAGACUUGGUGGUAUAAUAUUUCUAAUAUUUAAGUUAGCAUUAGUUACUGCUUGUCAGUAUGGAUUGUUUAGAAUGGUCAUUGGAGCUGUCUUUUAAGGUUAUUACAGUGACUGUUUUCAUGGAUGGGGAGUAAAACUUUGUGGUCUAAUACUUCUCAUAAAUGAAUGAAGAUUUUGGAUCCUUUUAGUUUGAAAGAUUGUCAGGAACAUGAAGAACUGAAUCCAUAAUAAACAUGUGUACACAAACAGACAAAAUAACAACAACACUGGUUGAUACAAUUCUAGGAACCGGUGAAGAAGUUAAAAGUUUUACAAUAUACUGAAGACUUGCAAUGGAAUAUCCAGGAAACAGGUCUUUUACGAAACAGUAUGAGAGAGCCAAGAUGAUUGUUGGAUUUAAAAUGCUUGGAAAAUACAACCAAAUGAAGACAAAAAAUGCACUGCAUCAACAAACAAAACAACUACUGGAACGUUGGGGCACCAGUACUGAUUUCUGAUUCUAAAAACAAUUGUUCAAAAUCUUCUUCAAAAACAUACAUGUAUACAUAUAUAUUUAUAUAAGAAAGAAAAAAAUAAUGCAUGUGCUUGAAACUUGUGUACAUACAUGUAAUGAAUAGAAAAAAGGAAAGAAAAAAAAUGAAAAGAAAAAAAAAAAGAAAGAAAAAAUAGAAAAAAGAAAGAAAGAAAAUUCAAAAAAAGAAAAGAAAAGAAAAGAAAAGAGAAGAAAGAAAGAAAAUUCAAAAAAAGAAAAGAAAAUUUAAAAAAAAAAUGAAAGAAAAAAAAAAAAAAAUUGAGGAGGGAGGUGGGUAAUGCAGCCAAGUAAUACUGUAUUCACCAAUUUUCAUGCACCAUAAUACCCACAAUCGUGAUAGUA